rnacentral:rRNA from 1 species
AUUGAACGCUGGCGGCAUGCCUUACACAUGCAAGUCGAGCGGCAGCGCGGGGGCAACCCUGGCGGCGAGCGGCGAACGGGUGAGUAAUACGUCGGAACGUGUCCAGUAGUGGGGGAUAACCAGUCGAAAGACUGGCUAAUACCGCAUACGAUCCACGGAUGAAAGCGGGGGACCGCAAGGCCUCGCGCUAUUGGAGCGGCCGAUGUCGGAUUAGCUUGUUGGCGGGGUAAAAGCCCACCAAGGCGACGAUCCGUAGCUGGUCUGAGAGGACGACCAGCCACACUGGAACUGAGACACGGUCCAGACUCCUACGGGAGGCAGCAGUGGGGAAUUUUGGACAAUGGGCGCAAGCCUGAUCCAGCCAUGCCGCGUGAGUGAAGAAGGCCUUCGGGUUGUAAAGCUCUUUCGGCGGGGACGAAACGGUCCGUGCCAACACCACGGACUAAUGACGGUACUCGCAGAAGAAGCACCGGCUAACUACGUGCCAGCAGCCGCGGUAA